CUGACAAAGAAGAGUAAACCAACUUCUCAGAAAAAAAAAAAAAAACAUCAUUGUGUAGAAGAAAUUCAAUUCACCUCUCAACCCUAAAGCCUCAUCGUCUCUCUCUCUCCGUCGCUCCGUCGCUGUACGUGAUCCGUAUCUGUAUCCAUUUGACGGCUCAACCAGCGACGCUCCGGUGUAAUUGUUCCCGGAUUGAAUUGCUCAAUUCCGUUCAAAAAUUAGGGUUUAAUAGAGGAACCAAUCGCCUAUGGCUCCGGGGCGUAAAAGAGUAGCGAGCAAGGCCAAGGACAACGGGAAGUUGAUUCUCGGUGAUCUCGUCCUCGCCAGAGUCAAAGGCUUCCCCGCUUGGCCUGCUAAGGUUAGCAGGCCUGAAGAGUGGGAUCGUGCUCCAGAUCCUAAGAAGUACUUUGUUCAGUUCUUUGGUACGCAGGAAAUAGCUUUUGUUGCACCGCCUGAUAUUCAACCCUUCACUAGUGAGUCAAAGAGCAAACUGUUGGCAAGAUGUCAAGGUAAAACGGUCAAGUACUUUGCACAGGCUGUGACGGAAAUAUGCACAGAAUUUGAAGAGUUGCAAAAUCACAAGUCGAGUGUUUUGGGCAGUGAGGAUCCGAUGGAUGCUGCGGAGCCUGGUUUGGUAAAGGAUGAGGCAGUUGAUGGAACAGAUCACAUCGUCACUGAUUCUGAUGGAACUGAUAACUUAGAUUCCGAGGUGGGACCUUACUUCCCCAAAGUAGAAACAGAGAAGCAGGGUUCGUCUCCAUUUCGGGAAUCCACAGCCACAUCCUCGGGUAGCGAGUCGCUAGAGCAGGAAGGAGAUUUUGAUAAAGGAACUGACGGUGAUGGUUGCACUAAAGAAUUUGGUAAUGGUGAAAAGGGUCUGCCCAACGGUAAGAGAAUAAAGAAGGAAGCAGGUGGCUCUGAUGGUCGAGAUACUAGUGGUAAACCCGAUUCCAAAAAGUCAAAAGAUCUGUUGACAGAGAAAUCGAGCUCCAAAGUGUCUGGUGUUAAGCAAGAAAAUUCAAUUGGCGUUAAGGAUGGGGUUUCCGGCAAGAAAAGGAGGCUUGAAAGUGAAUCAGGGAAGCCUGCAUCAAGAGUAGAUGAAAGCUCACGUGCGGCUAAAAAGCCGCGAUGUGAAGGUAAAAAUGACAAGGAAAAAUGUGUAACUGAUUCUACUGGUACUCUAUCACAUAUUAAGCGUGAACUUGUUGUAGGACUAAGUGCUCGUGGAGGUGACUUACAAUAUGAUAAAAUAGUUGUAACUAAGCGCCGGAGACAAACAGUGGAGCAUGAUACCUCGCCUCCUCUUUCUGGGUCCCGUGUUAAAUCCGGGAAAGCUCAGCUGGAACAGAGAGACCGUUCGUCUGUAAGUGAUAAAUCCGGGAAAGGUCAUCUGGAACAGAAGGACCGUUCCUCUUCUGUUAGUAAUGCCAAGGUUCCAGCUUCACAGUCGCUGAAAAAAAGGAGGGCUGUUUGUGUAUAUGACGAAGAUGAUGAUGAAGAUCCAAAAACCCCAUUACAUGGAAGUCAAUCCGUUGUUCCCAAAGCAACGCCAGUAUUGACUGAUGGUCCUAAAAGUGCUAACGUGUGUCGUGAUACUUCUACUAAAGCCAAAAUAUCUGCUAGAUCUACAGAGAGUAGGGGAGUAAAGAAAGUACCCCUGCGUAAACAUUGUGAGGAUACUUCACGUGUAUUAUCAGAUAAUGUGGAGAAUUCUACAAACAGUUUACCCGUGGUAAAAGUCAUCAGUGAGUUGCCGGCAAAGGAUGUCAAGCAAAUUUUGCAAUCUCCUAUGAAGUCUCCUCAGCUGGUGUCACCUAACAAGCAGGUUGCAGGACAGCAUAAAACUGCCAAACCACCUGUAAAAGUUUCGGAUGCAAAGAAGCCUCAUAGUGAGUCUGGUAAGGAAUCAGUUGUGGGAUCUGAUAAAGUAAGCCCUUCCCAAUCUCAGCCAGCAAAUCAGAGACACAGACCAGCUUCAGUUGGAGAUAAGCCAACGGUGGUUUCAAAAGCUGCGUUACGUCUGAGUGAUGCUGUUGUUUCAAAAGACACUUCUGGGGACUUGUCUGCUGUUAUGGUUGGUUACAAUCGAGAAAAUGGGAGUGCUCCAUUCACCAGAGCGAGGACCCCAGAUUCGGCUGCAUCUAUGAAGGAUCUAAUUGCAGCUGCACAGGCCAAAAGAAAAGUAGCACAUUCACAAAAUUCAGUUUUUGGGAAUUUGAAUUCUAGUUUAUUAAACAUCAGUGAUACACAGAUGAGGAGUCAUAGCCCACUUAUGGUUCAGAAUGCUUCAGCUUCUGCGGCCAUAAUGCCUGUCGCUGUUCAAGGACAUCAACAAGACUCUUUUCCGUCAAAUCAUGAGCAUCAGUCCUCAUCAAGAAAUCAAAAUGAGACUGAUGAUAAUGAAGAGAGAAGACUUAGUUCAGGGCAUGAGUCAGUUGGAGGUUCACUUAGUGGUGGCACUGAUGCUGCUGUUUCUCGGGAUGCUUUUGAGGGCAUGAUAGAGACCUUAUCAAGAACUAAAGAAAGUAUUGGACGUGCUACGCGCCUAGCAAUUGAUUGUGCCAAGUACGGGAUUGCUAGCGAGGUAGUGGAACUUCUCAUACGAAAGUUGGAAAAUGAGCCUCACUUACAUCGUAAAGUGGAUCUGUUCUUUCUUGUUGACUCUAUCACCCAGUGUUCGCACAACCAAAAAGGUAUUGCUGGUGCUUCAUACGUUCCGACAGUGCAAGCUGCUUUGCCACGUCUUUUAGGUGCUGCUGCCCCUUCAAGGACCGAUGCUCGUGAUAACCGUCGUAAAUGUCUCAAGGUUUUGAGGUUGUGGCUUGAUAGGGAAAUUUUCCCUGAAUCUGUUCUGCGGCGCUAUAUUGAUGAUAUUGGAAAUUCUAGUGAUGAUGCAGCUGCUGGGUUGUCCAUGCAACGUCCUUCCAGAUCUGAGCGUGCUGUAGAUGAUCCUAUCAGAGAAAUGGAAGGGAUGCUUGUUGAUGAGUAUGGCAGCAAUGCAACUAUUCAGCUGCCAGGGUUUUUCUCUUCUCGUACCUUUGAAGAUGAUGAAGAAGAUGACGAUCUUCCAAAUCUUCCAAUACCACAAGAUGCGAAAAACACAUCAUCUGGUGAACCUUUCAAUGCUUUAGAAGACUUGGAAGCACGUGAUACUAUUAGUGAUAGACCCCAUAGAGUUUUGGAGAAUGUAGAUCGUGAACUUAAAAUGGAAGAUGUAUCUGGUCAGCCGAAAGAUGUAGCACCUUCCGCUUUCUGUGAGAAUGAGACAAAGGUUCAGUCACUGGAUGCUAGGGAACCACUUGCAGAAAAUCCAACUGGGGCGCCUCCUCUUCCAGAGGAUUCUCCUCCCCCGCCUCACGAAUCACCUCCAUCUCCCCCUCCUCUACCUCCUUCUCCACCACCUCCAUCCCCACCUCCUCCGCCUUCAUCUCCGCCCCCAUUGCUGCCACCACCACCUCCUACAACACAAUUCCCACCUCCUCCUCCAUCUCCAUCUCAGCCGCCACCCCCACCGCCACCGCCCCUUUCACCUCCACCUUCACCGCCACCUCCACCUCCACCUUCACCGCCACCUCCACCUUCACCGCCACCUCCACCUCCACUGCCUGCACAAUCUAUAGCUUUACCACCAUCGUUAACAAUUCAACAGUCCAUUGCUAGCCAUCAACAGUUACACCUUCAACUAGGCUUUCCUCCAGCAUAUCCAUUAUCGCAUCAAACAUACUCAGGAUCUAUGCAGCAAGACCAAUGUACCAUUUUCACUAGUGAUCAAAUUGUCCAAGGGCCUGGAAGUUCUUCACGUGGAAGUCAUGUUGAGGGGCCUGGAAAAACUGAUUUUUUCGUGCAGCAGUCAUCUAAUUUUUCUCCAGCAGGAGUGUACAGCUCCAGGGAGCCUUCAGCAUUUACUUCCUCCAGACAACUAGAAUUUGGGAACAGCGAUGCACAGAACCAACGGUUUCAACCGAACACCUCUCUGUCCCAAAGACCUAUGCUUAGGAAUCUGCCUUCAGCACCGUCCAGUCAUUUUCCGUAUCCAAGCCAUGUUCAGUCACAAUCCCAGCGUUGCUACACUCAUCCUUAUUCUUUCCCACCGCAACGAGAUGAUGGACGGCGAUUUAGAAAUGAGGAGCCAUGGCGGAUGUCUUCAAGUGGGCGUAGUGCAGGAAACCAGAGUGGUGCCUGGAUACCUGGAAGAAAUUCACAUCCAGGCCUUCCUAGAGUCACAGACAAUUUUUUUCGGCCACCUUCAGCGCCAAUGAGCUAUCAGCCUUCUUCUGCCAGUAACUUACAAGCCGUCCCUACAAUUCAAGGUCAUGCUUCUUCCCAGAUGCUACCAUCUCGGCCAGACAUGCCUACGGCAAAUUGCUGGAGGCCAGCUUGAGGUUAGAGGUAGAAUUUCGUUGGUCUGCUCCUGUCAAUAUCAAUGGAAAAAAGAGCUGCUAGUGCCUCAUUAACAAGAUUAAUCCUCUAGAGUCGGCUAUUUUGAGGUGGAAUUACUAUUUGGCAUAUGCAGUUGGUCGAGUUCACUUAUUUUUGUCAUAUCAAGCUGUGAUGUACGGUUAGCUUCCUGGUAUAUGCUUUCAAGUGGCAUUAAUUGCCCUGGGGGGAUGGUUUUCUAUAUACUUGUGUCUGUGCUGACUUCAGUUGCGAGAACAUAUCUUCUUUGAAGGUUUUGAGCGACUUGUGUCUUACAACAAACAGGGUUUUGAUACAAAGUUAAGUCACCUGGACCGAUGGCAAUCAUCGUACUGGGGAAAUAUGUGCGCAUUGUACAAGGCGGUCUUGAUUGGCUAAUGCAGAAGCUUGAUGUGUUGAGAUUCUGAGAUUUGGUUCAUGAGCUGAGAGGUGCAGGUCUUGGGGGAGGAUCUAACUAGGCUUUAGAGGAUUCUCGCCUCUCUUUAUCAAUCGAGUUUCUCAAGUUGGGAGGUUAGCUUUUUCGCCACUGAUGAUCAUUACCUCAGGACUAACUUCAUUGUUGAGAUUUUUUUUUGGCAGAAAGUAAAUUAAAGCUAGAUCACUGGAACUAAAAUGUUGGUAUAUUAAGCUAGGAAAGGUUGUUUUACCAGACUAAUCAAUAGCUUUGUAAUUAACAGUCUUAUAAUUUAUCAACUGAUCUUGUAAACCAAAAGAUUAGUCCUUCAUCUAUC